UACGGAGGGUGCAAGCGUUGUUCGGAAUUAUUGGGCGUAAAGCGUGCGUAGGCUGGACACUAAGUCUGAUGUGAAAUACCUGGGCUUAACCGAGGAACUGCAUUGGAAACUGGUGUUCUUGAGUCCUGUAGGGGGUGGCGGAAUUCUCAGUGUAGAGGUGAAAUUCGUAGAUAUUGGGAGGAACACCGGUGGCGAAGGCGGCCACCUGGGCAGAGACUGACGCUGAGGCACGAAAGCGUGGGUAGCAAAC
rnacentral:rRNA from 1 species